rnacentral:rRNA from 1 species
UAGUAGACACGAAACCGGGUGAUCUAGCCAUGAGCAGGUUGAAGUUAGGGUAAAACCUAAUGGAGGACCGAACCAGUAUUCGUUGAAAAGACUUUGGAUGACUUGUGGCUAGCGGUGAAAUUCCAAUCGAACCCGGAGAUAGCUAGUUCUCCCCGAUAUAUCUUUAAGGAUAGCGUUAUGUGAAUUGUUGUGGAGGUAGAGCACUGAAUCUAUGAUGGCUGCACCUAGCGGUACUGAUUAGAAUUAAACUCCGAAUGCCAUAACUUGUGCAUAGCAGUCAGAACAUGGGUGAUAAGGUCCAUGCUCGUGAGGGAAACAGCCCAGAUCGUCAGCUAAGGUCCCUAAGUGUAAACUAAGUGUGUAAGGAUGUGGAACUGCACAGACAGCUAGGAUGUUGGCUUAGAAGCAGCCAUCAUUUAAAGAGUGCGUAACAGCUCACUAGUCGAGUGAUUCUGCGCCGAAAAUGUACCGGGGCUUAAGUUUACCACCGAAGCUACGGAUUGUACGCAAGUACAGUGGUAGGGGAGCGUUCCAAGGGCGAUGAAGUCAGACCGUAAGGACUGGUGGAGCGCUUGGAAGUGAUUAUGCCGGCAUGAGUAACGUUUGGAAGUGAGAAUCUUCCAUGCCGUUUGACCAAGGUUUCCUGGGCAAGGUUCGUCCACCCAGGGUUAGUCAGGACCUAAGGCGAGGCCGACAGGCGUAGUCGAUGGACAACAGGUUGAUAUUCCUGUACCAGUUAAUUAGUGAUGGAGUGACGGAGAAGGAUAGUAUAUCCCGGGCGCUGGUUGUCCCGGGCUAAGCACAAAGACGGCAACAUUGGCAAAUCCGUGUUGUAUUAACGUUGAAGUGUGAUGGGGAGUGAACGGUUCGCCUAGUAACGAAGUAUAUGACUCCACGCUUCCAAGAAAAGCUUCUAACUUAAUAAUUAACUGCCUGUACCUAGAACGAACACACGUGGUCAAGGAGAAAAUCCUAAGGCAAGCGAGAUAACUGUAGCUAAGGAACUCUGCAAAAUAACUCCGUAACUUCGGAAGAAGGAGUGCUCAUCUUUGAUGAGCCGCAGUGAAGAGGGAGGGGCAACUGUUUAACAAAAACACAGCUCUCUGCUAAGUCGCAAGACGAUGUAUAGGGGGUGACACCUGCCCAGUGCCGGAAGGUUAAGAGGAGAAGUCAGCGCAAGCGAAGCUUUGAAUUGAAGCCCCGGUGAACGGCGGCCGUAACUAUAACGGUCCUAAGGUAGCGAAAUUCCUUGUCAGGUAAAUUCUGACCCGCACGAAAGGUGUAAUGAUCCCUUCGCUGUCUCGGCUGCAGACUCGGUGAAAUUUUAGUACCGGUGAAGAUGCCGGUUACCCGCAACUAGACGGAAAGACCCCGUGGAGCUUUACUAUAACUUGAUAUUGAAAUUUGGUGUAACGUGUAGAGGAUAGGUGGGAGACUAUGAGACCAGGACGCCAGUACUGGUGGAGUC